UUUCCGUAGGUGAACCUGCGGAAGGAUCAUUAACGAGUUUUGAAAUGGGUUGUAGCUGGCCUUCCGAGGCAUGUGCACGCCCUGCUCAUCCACUCUACACCUGUGCACUUACUGUAGGUCUGCGUGGGUUUCUAGCCUCCGGGUUGGGAGCAUUCUGCAGGCUUAUGUAUACUAUAAACACUUUAAAGUAACAGAAUGUAAACGCGUCUAACGCAUUUUAAUACAACUUUCAGCAACGGAUCUCUUGGCUCUCGCAUAGAUGAAGAACGCAGC
rnacentral:misc_RNA from 1 species